AAUACAUGCAAGUCGAGCGAACGGACGAGAAGCUUGCUUCUCUGAUGUUAGCGGCGGACGGGUGAGUAACACGUGGAUAACCUACCUAUAAGACUGGGAUAACUUCGGGAAACCGGAGCUAAUACCGGAUGAUAUUUUGAACCGCAUGGUUCAAAAGUGAAAGACGGUCUUGCUGUCACUUAUAGAUGGAUCCGCGCUGCAUUAGCUAGUUGGUAAGGUAACGGCUUACCAAGGCAACGAUGCAUAGCCGACCUGAGAGGG
rnacentral:rRNA from 1 species